rnacentral:rRNA from 1 species
GGGAACCUGCCUCAAAGAGGGGGACAACAGUUGGAAACGGCUGCUAAUACCGCAUAAGCCCACGGCUCGGCAUCGAGCAGAGGGAAAAGGAGCAAUCCGCUUUGAGAUGGCCUCGCGUCCGAUUAGCUAGUUGGUGAGGUAAUGGCCCACCAAGGCAACGAUCGGUAGCCGGACUGAGAGGUUGAACGGCCACAUUGGGACUGAGACACGGCCCAG